rnacentral:tRNA from 1 species
UGCCGGGUCGUCUAAUGGCAGGACAGAGGCCUUUGAAGCCUUCAAUCUAGGUUCGAAUCCUAGCCCGGCAACCA